CCUGUAAAUCUGUAUGUGGGAACUGCAGUCCUAGGUAAGGCAAGUUCUAACAGGACAUGCUAAUGAACUACAGAAAGAAAAAGAGAUUUUUUUUUUUUUUUCAGGUUACAUGGGCUAAGAAAGAGACCUGGUCAAAAGCCCAGUAGGAAUCUCACUUCUAUCGUCAACAGUCUUUCUACCAGAACCUAAAUUAACUGCCCAUCUGUUCCAUCAAGUGAUGUUUCGUAUACCUCAUAAGGUGCCAAUUCUUCAUGGGGACAGAACAUCUCUAGCAGCUGAGGGGCAUUCCCAUUCUCUGUGCAGCUGUCCACAAGACAUUAGCACAGGAGACCUGAUGUCCACUAGAUGGUCUGAGUGCAGCAUGCAGUGGUUUCCUCAUGAAGCCUUCCAAUGACCCGUCAUCAUCCUACGUAUCCUGCUGACCCUCAAAUUAAACUGAUGAACGUGGUGACCCCUUUUUGGUGAUGCCUGCCAUGUCAAAUUUCAGCUUGAGCACCUGAAGCUUGGCAGAGAGUAAGCAACAGAAAGUGGGAUCUCUUCAGGGCAAGGGAUGGAUGACAUUAAUAAUAGACACUGCUACCAGCUCUUUCCUAGUUGCUCACUGACAAGGCUUUAUUUCUGGUCUUUCCUAUGCUUAAUUUAAAAUCAGGGGUCCCUCAAUCCCUGGUGAUUUUCUUGGAUCAGAUAGAUUGGUAUAGUUACACUGAAAUACCAUGAACAAUAUUUUUUUUUCAUUAGAAGGAAUAAUUUCCUUCCUUAACUUGCAGAGUCAUGCUCUUAGCAACGAGGAGCCAAAGGCAGGUUCUAUUCCUGUUAUCAUAAAGGUGAAAUUCCCAACUUCUGUCUUUCCUGUUAAGGCCCUGCACAGGUGAGUCGUCCUGAAUCACUGCAGCAGGACCUCAAUAGUGGACAGAGCUUGGGCUAUCCCUUUAAAGUACCCACAUCCUUUUCUCCUUACAGACUUAGGAUCUAUUGUUUUUUUUCUUCUUGGAGGCUGGAGAGAAAAUGAUUUAGUCCCAGUUCCUCUUCUGACUUGCAGCAAUGCAAUACCUCCAACCUCUGAAUGUCUUUGAAAAAUCCAUUGCUAAUUCUAACAUUGUUUUUCAGUUUGGAGCUAUCUGACUGAUUUAUAACAGUUUCAAAGGGAACAGAGCACCCCAUCUAUUAUCAAUCAAACCUCACCUCUUGUUAAACUGUAGAAAGAGUAUUCCGGCUGUAGGGCUGUUACUCACUAGGCACCAUGUACCAGCAGAGAGAUUAGAGGUCUUGAACUUUACAGAGAGCACUCUCACAGCACUCACUGAGUUACGUACUGUUGCAACAAAUUCCCCAUGCAUUAUGAUGAGACUAUGCUACACUAAUGUAGGAAAAGUGUUAUUUUCAAUCAAAUUUUUGGUGGGCGGGGAUAUGAUAAUAAGUUUUGAUGCUGGUCUGUUACUUGCAACACCAAAUGUAUCAUGAAGCAGGAAAAAACUUCAGAAAUGUAGGACUCCCAGAAUAGCUGUUUCCUCAAGGGCCUGAGGGCGGAAUUCAUCUUACUGGACUUUAAUCUAAAAUCCAAACAACUAGCCCAAAGUAGUUUGUGAUAUUUUUUAUGGCAGAUGGGAUGAACAUUCCUUUGGAGGUGCCUGUUUUUGUCUUCUGACUAUACAAGGGACCUAGACAACCACUUCGAUUCAUUCUUAAUAUUUAGAUGGGUGAAAUCAAUUGAGAGGAAUCCCAUCCUAAUCCUAUGUUGGGACUCCCAUAAUCCCUAAUUUAUGGAAGUAAAGAAUGGCAAAAGAGCAGUUUAGCAGUCCCAUGUUUCUGUCUCUGAAGAGACUGGUAUCAUGCCAAUGUAUAGUCUUUGAAGAUAUGGAACACAGUUUGUUUUCUUCAUGUCAGGUUGUUUGUUUGGUUAGUUUUUUUAUUCCAAGUUUGUUUUUUUCCUUAAUCAUCCUCAACAAACGUGUAAGGCUUUCUUCCCACCAACAAGGCAAGUAAUAAACAUGGCUAAAAAUCCAGGAUGUGUGUGGGAAACCUAGGGAAAAGAAACUUCUUUAACAGUAUCUACAACAGAUCAUGCCCAACUAUUUUAUCCUCACACCAGCUGGUGUGCUACAGACACCACAAUUCAGCCUUUUUUGCUAGUACUUUUAAUUGACCUGGAGUUGGUCAGCAUUAGAAAGCUGCAGAGAAUCUUUAGAGCUGCACAACAGCUGUGGAGUAGAAGAUGGCAAUUAAUGUUUUGCUAGUCCCUCCCUUGCAAACCCCAAUGUGAUAUAACACAACACAAAGCUGAAAUGAUACCAUAGCUGCAGCAGAGUUCUGCACCUCCUGUAAGUGAGCCAAGGUAAAAGGCACCUUACUGAAACAAAGGAUUUUGAACACUGAAAGAUUAAAAAAACCAAAAACAAACUAGGUCAUUUUGAUACUUGCAAAUCAUUUUUUUUUUCCAUGUAACAUAUUAAUCCAUGAGAAAAGUGAGAGAUUUAAUGCGAUAUAUCACUUUAGAGUAAAAUCUUCUUUAUUAAAAUGCUAGAAUUUUCCUGAGAGAUAAAAUUUCCAACUUCAAGCAGCCUGCGUCCUGAUAUUUCAUUCUGAAAUCCUGUAGAAUGUAAACACAAAUUGUGCGGAAUUAAUUCUUCACCAUUUUAGUCAUAUGUUUAACCCUACACAGACUCCAGCCUUGCAGCACUAUGUAAGGAGGGAGGCUCACAGUCCAGUUUCUGAGAACUCACCGGUGGCUGUGGAGCAGCUGGUCUCUGCCCAGACUUUCUGCCUGCCACCUGCCCAUGACAGGUGGAACCUGGGUAACAAAGCUUAUCCUAAACUUGAGCAUUGCAUUCACAUGCAAUGUGGAUGCUUAUUUUUGCCAUAGGAGAAAUCCUGCUCACUCGCUCCAGUGAUGAAUUUUCCUGCCUUCAACGGGACUUGUCAUCUGGAAAAACCACCAGAGAAAGACAGCACUGGCCCAAGAGCAAAAUGUUGCUCUCCUCACUACUAAAAGACGAGCUUUUUGAAGUGAUCAAAAUAAGUUUCAAUGACAUUUGACUCUUAAGUCUAUGUAUAGCAAAACAAACCAAUAAAACUCCACUUUCUCCCCCUUCUCCCCUUUUGAUUUACAAAGGUGGAAACUUUCAGGAUGUCUUAGCUGUAGACAAUAAAACAUUUUUCAAAAACACAUUAAGAGUGUCAAAAACCACCUUUGAGAUGAGUAACAUCUUUUAAAGUAAUGGGCUAAAUCAAACCAAAACCUUUGCUGACAUUUUGAUUGCAUUUGUGUUAGUCGGUAUAAUGAAAAAUUAACUUUACACAUAAAAAAUUUAUUGUAGCUUCUUUUAUUGCCUAGGAAGGAAAGUUUAGUGUAGCCAACCGAACCAUGCUUCUUCAUGGGUUGUCACUUGAUACACUUUAUUAUUGUAACUUAUGGGGAUGUUUGUAAGCAAAGGAGUGUUAUUUAUUCUGCAGUACUUCCAUUUGCUCACUCAUUACGCUCAUCAUGGCUCUAUGUAAUAAACUUCAUAAUAUCACACAUUAAUGGGGUUGUUUAAACUAUAACUACUAUAAGUUAAUGUGCAAAUGCCUUCCAGUUUUCCCAAGUUUACUCGCAAUUUUGAAAUAAUGUUCAAGACGUGCUCUGAGUCUGGGAAGAAUCACACACUUUAGUGCAAUAAUGUAUGAGGAAAUGCAAAAUUAUUUAAUAAAUACAGAAGAAUUGAC